ACAUCUCUAGAAUGAAAAGGUUUAUCGUUCUGUUAUUGGUGAUGCUGUGGAUGACACGAGUGAACAGUCACUUGUGUCUAGGAAAAACAAUGUGCAAAAACAGAAAGAAAGCUAAUGGUAAAAGGCAUAUACCAUGGUCAAAUGAUAAACAAGAAAAACAAGAGAGUCCAUGGUUCGAACGUCACACUAUGCAAACGCGACGAAUUCCCAAAAUGAGAUCAACGCACUUUCUACAAAAAUGACCGCAAACACUGCGAUGGAUGGUCUUACGGACGCAACGAAGGAAGAUUCACGAAACUAUUUCGCAGGAAAGAUAAUUACUUAAAAUAAAAAUUGAAAAAUGGAUAAUAUUACGACAUUAUCCAAACCGCAUGAUGUCAAUAUAAUACACAUAAUGAUCAUGUUGUUGUGCAAUUACAACACUACAUCGUAUUCAAAUGUAAUUGGCUCUUUAACCUAUGCACUUGAAAAACUAUUAUGUCAAUUGUAAA